UGGGGAAUCUUGCACAAUGGGGGCAACCCUGAUGCAGCGACGCCGCGUGAGCGAUGAAGCCCUUCGGGGCGUAGAGCUCUUUCGACCGGAACGAUAAUGACGGUACCGGGAGAAGAAGCUGCGGCUAACUACGUGCCAGCAGCCGCGGUAAUACGUAGGCAGCAAGCGUUGUUCGGAGUUACUGGGCGUAAAGAGUGCGUAGGCGGGUUUCUAAGUUCGGUGUGAAAUCUCCCGGCUUAACUGGGAGGGUGCGCCGAAGACUGGGACGCUGGAGUGUGGGAAAGGCAGGCGGAAUUCCUGGUGUAGCGGUGAAAUGCGUAGAUAUCAGGAGGAACACCGGCGGUGUAGACGGCUUGCUAGACCAUAACUGACGCUGAGGCACGAAAGCGUGGGUAGCAAACA
rnacentral:rRNA from 1 species